rnacentral:lncRNA from 1 species
CAUAUAUAUACAAAUUAUAAAAAUUAUAUAUAUGUGAAUUUAGGGAUGAUCGAAUCAAACUCGAACUUUAAAUAAUUUAUUCAUGAUCUAAUUCAAAAUUUAAAUAAAUCUAAAAAUUGUGUCCAAAUUUAUUUAAUAAAUUUUAAUUUUUAAUCAAAAUUCUCUAAAAAAUUGAACGAACUAUUAAGUUUGAAUAGAAUAAUCUGAUCUUUAAACAGGACUAGAAGCAACCAUGACAAUCUCUUUCGUCCAUGCUUUUUUUUUUUUCCUUCAAUCACCAAAACCCUCAUUUACUUGUAAAUUUCUUUAUGUAGCUACCAAGAACUGAAAAAUGAGAUUACAAUCCAAUAACAUCCAUAUCAAAAUGGGGGCAACAAUGGAAGCAAAAUGAGACAAAUUAAAUGUCUCAUCGAAUAGAGCACCUUAGGCACAUGAAUCAUAUGAAGAACACCUCACAUAUUUGUUCUUUCCUUGUUGAUGCCAUGUUUACAUCAUAGCUAAUUUUAUUACCAUUAAAAAAAUUUUUCACAAGCCCUCAUAAAAGACUUCUCCACAAGCUUUCCCUAUGCAAAUCAAACCAUGUUAGAGGCAAGUCUGAAGAGAGGUGCUUAAAUUGGUUAACAUGAUCUGGAAAAGUAAUGGAUUUGAAGUAUUUUCAAAGACUUUUCUUUGGAUUUAAAAUUAUGAUACCAUGACAAACUUUGUGAACAGGAGUUGGAGGCGUUAGAUAUUUAUAGGUAGGGAAAGAGAGAUAAUAAUGAGAUAAAAGGUAAAGAGAAAAAAAGAAAAUAUGGAUUAUUUUUCAUUUGAAUUAAACAUGGAAAAUUGAUUUUCUCUUAACCAUCAAAACAAUAAAAAUAAAAUUUUUAAUCUCUUUCAAAUUUUUUUUUUAAUUUUUUGGAAAGUUGUUUUUGUUUACCAAACCAAGCUUAAAUAAUUAAUUAUGUAAAUUUCUCUCCAGAUUAAGAAGUAAAAAGACAAUUGGCUUUUACAACUGUCCCUUACCAAAAAUACAUAACUCACUUUAUAUUUUUCUAAGGAAGAUAUGUAGUAUAAUUCAUUGCAAGCAAGCCACAUGACAUAUUUGCAGAUAGCAACUAAAGCACUUUACCCUAUAUAAAAGCAUGUUUGACACUAGUAGUAAUAAUAAUUAUAUAAACAAACAUCAGCUAACAUAUAGGUUAUUGAAAAGACAAA